GUGGGGCCGCGGUAAACAAACGGAGAAGCUUCGGCGGGGGCAGAGCUGUAGUAUAAAACGUUAAUGGGUGUCCAGGGCGCGCCGUUUCCCCGGCUGCCGGCCAGAGGUGCUAGGGAAGCGCUGACAGGAGCCCGGGAGAGGAGGAUGCACCGUCCCCCGCCUUGGAAAGGGAGAUUAUUUUGAAUUGUCUAAGUGGACGAAUGUCACAAGGAUCCUGCAAAGUAGAAGAGGAGGGCAGAAGGCAUCAGAGUGAGAGGAGAAGAGGACUCAGCCUGCCCUGGUUGGCUUUGAAGAUGGAGGAAGGAACAAUGGGCCAAGGAAUGCACAGCUUCUAGAAGCUGGAAGAGGCAAGGAAAAGGCUUCUCCCUUAGAGGCUUCAGAAGGGAAUGCAGCCCUGCUAACACCUGGACUGCUGCCCCAUGAGACCCAUCUCAGACUUCUAGCCAAUACUGCAAGCCCCAGAUUUUGUUGAGGAAUGGAAAAGAUAGAUGAAGAGCAUCACAACUGCCUGGGAAACAAGAGGGGGAACUUUCCAAGGACCAGAAAUUGUGACAAAAAUGCCUGCAUGACAUAGGACCAGAUCCUGUUGGUGCUGUUUCUCUGGAGAAUUCUACUACAAGGCAGAAGAACACAGUCUUCGAGCAAAGGAAAGACUGAACGGAAUGAAAAGAUCUGCUCUUAAAUGAAGCUGAGGCUGUGUUGAAGAACUAUACUGGACAAUACUGUGUGUCAGAUGGAAAGGUCUGAGUGAUUGCAGGGGGGUUGAGUAUGUUCUGGUGUUUUUACCCUCCUUGUUAUGCCAGCAGCCAACUUCCCAGAUUUCUUUUCAUCAGUUUUUUCCAUCAAAUCUGCUUCAUCAUAGAAUACAGAACUGGACCCGUGUGGUUUUUCAUAAGUAGCCUCCAGAUUUGCUUCUCCCCAUGACUCUUCACAAAGGCUGGCAUCUUGUAAGGAUAACUCCACACCAUCUUAAUUUCUUAAUAUGACUAAUCUCUUCAACAAUUUUACAUUUUCCUCCAAUUAGUUUGUCAAGUUGUAUAGUGAGUUUCCCUCCUUCCUCUACAAUGCUUUCUGUUUUGUUUUUUGGUAUUUGUUUGUAAUUGUAAAAUACACUUUACCAUUUUAAUCAUUUUAAAGUGUGCCAUUCAGUGGCAUUAAGUACCUUUGUAGUGUUGUGCAGCCAUCACCACCAUCCAUUUCCAGAACUUUUGCAUCAUCCCAAACAGAAGUUCUGCAUCUGCGAAGCAAAAACUCCCUAUUUCCCUCUCCUCCCAACCCCUGGUAACCACUAUUCUACUUUCUCUCUCAAUAAAUUUGCCUAGUCUACAUACUUUAUACA